rnacentral:rRNA from 1 species
AUACGUAGGAUCCAAGCGUUGUCCGGAUUUACUGGGCGUAAAGGGUGUGUAGGCGGUAUGGUAAGUCUCAUGUGAAAUCUCCCGGCUCAACUGGGAGGGGUCAUGAGAUACUGUCAAACUCGAGGGCAGCAGAGGAGAGCGGAAUUCCGGGAGUAGUGGUGAAAUGCGUAGAUACCCGGAGGAACACCCGUGGCGAAAGCGGCUCUCUGGGCUGUACCUGACGCUGAUACACGAAAGCGUGGGGAGCAAACCGGAUUAGAUACCCCAGUAGUCC